GUGUCAGCAGCCGCGGUAAGACGAAGGUGGCGACCGUUGUUCGGAAUCACUGGGCAUAAAGAGCACGUAGGCGGCAAGGUAUGUCGGGUGUGAAAUCCCUCGGCCUAACCGAGGAAUUGCGCCCGAAACUACCUUGCUUGAGGAUGGAAGGGGAGCGUGGAAUUCCUGGUGGAGCGGUGAAAUGCGUUGAUAUCAGGAGGAACACCGGCGGCGAAGGCGACGCUCUGGUCCAUUACUGACGCUGAGGUGCGAAAGCCAGGGGAGCAAACGGGAUUAGAAACCCGUGUAGUCC
rnacentral:rRNA from 1 species